AGUGAACGCUGGCGGUAGGCCUAACACAUGCAAGUCGAACGGCAGCACAGUAAGAGCUUGCUCUUACGGGUGGCGAGUGGCGGACGGGUGAGGAAUACAUCGGAAUCUACUUUUUCGUGGGGGAUAACGUAGGGAAACUUACUCUAAUACCGCAUACGACCUACGGGUGAAAGCAGUGGAUCUUCGCACCUUGCGCGAUUGAAUUAGCCGAUGUCGGAUUAGCUAGUUGGCGGGGUAAAGGCCCACCAAGGCGACGAUCCGUAGCUGGUCUGAGAGGAUGAUCAGCCACACUGGAACUGAGACACGGUCCAGACUCCUACGGGAGGCAGCAGUGGGGAAUAUUGGACAAUGGGCGCAAGCCUGAUCCAGCCAUACCGCGUGGGUGAAGAAGGCCUUCGGGUUGUAAAGCCCUUUUGUUGGGAAAGAAAAGCAGCAGGUUAAUACCCCGCUGUUCUGACGGUACCCAAAGAAUAAGCACCGGCUAACUUCGUG
rnacentral:rRNA from 1 species